rnacentral:rRNA from 1 species
UACGGAAGGUCCGGGCGUUAUCCGGAGUGACUGGGUGUAAAGAGUUGCGUAGGUGGCGUCUCAAGUAGCUAGUGAAAUCUGGUGGCUCAACCAUUCAGACUGUUAGCUGAACUGGGAUGCUCGAGAGCGUCAAGGGUAACUGGAAUUUCUAGUGUAGGAGUGAAAUCCGUAGAUAUUAGAAGGAACACCGAUAGCGUAGGCAGGUUACUGGGGCGUUUCUGACACUAAGGCACGAAAGCGUAGGGAGCAA